rnacentral:rRNA from 1 species
AGCGAACGCUGGCGGCAGGCCUAACACAUGCAAGUCGAACGAACCUUUCGGGGUUAGUGGCGGACGGGUGAGUAACACGUGGGAACGUGCCUUUAGGUUCGGAAUAACUCAGGGAAACUUGUGCUAAUACCGAAUGUGCCCUUCGGGGGAAAGAUUAAUCGCCUUUAGAGCGGCCCGCGUCUGAUUAGCUAGUUGGUUGAGGUAAUGGCGCACCAAGGCGACGAUCAGUAGCUGGUCUGAGAGGAUGAUCAGCCACAUUGGGACUGAGACACGGCCCAAACUCCUACGGGAGGCAGCAGUGGGGAAUCUUGCGCAAUGGGCGAAAGCCUGACGCAGCCAUGCCGCGUGAAUGAUGAAGGUCUUAGGAUUGUAAAAUUCUUUCACCGGGGACGAUAAUGACGGUACCCGAAGAAGAAGCCCCGGCUAACUUCGUG